GAUAAACGUUGGCGGUGUGCCUUAUGCAUGCAAGUCGUACGAGGUUAUGGUCUUCGGAUUGUAACCGAGUGGCGAACGGCUGAGUAACACGUAAGUAACCUGCCUGCAAGUGGGGGAUAACCUGUCGAAAGGCAGGCUAAUACCGCAUAUGAUAAUCGAGUGUUGCUUGAUUAUUAAAGCCUUAGGGUGCUUGGAGAUGGGCUUGCGUCUGAUUAGCUAGUUGGUGAGGUAAUGGCUCACCAAGGCGAUGAUCAGUAGCUGGUCUGAGAGGAUGGUCAGCCAGAUGGGGAUUGAGAUACGGCCCCAACUCCUACGGGAGGCAGCAGCAAGGGAUAUUGGGCAAUGGGCGAAAGCCUGACCCAGCGACACCGCGUGAGGGAGGAAGGCCUUCGGGUUGUAAACCUCUUUUCUCGAGGAAGAAUUUUGACGGUACUCGAGGAAUAAGCCUCGGCUAACUACGUGCCAGCAGCCGCGGUAAGACGUAGGAGGCGAACGUUAUCCGGAUUUACUGGGCGUAAAGAGAGCGUAGGCGGCUUUUUAAGUCAAGUGUGAAAUCUUGUGACUCAAUCAGAAGAAGCCGCUUGAUACUGGAUGGCUUGAGGGAAGCAGAAGGAAAUGGAAUUCCCAGUGUAGCGGUGAAAUGCGUUGAUAUUGGGAAGAACACCAGUGGCGAAGGCGAUUUCCUAGGCUUUUCCUGACGCUGAGGCUCGAAAGCGUGGGGAGCGAAGCGGAUUAGAUACCCGCGUAGUCCACGCCUUAAACGGUGGACAUUAGGUAUGGGGAGUAUCGACCCUCUCCGUGUCGAAGCUAACGCUUUAAACGUCCCGCCUGGGGAGUACGGCCGCAAGGCUA
rnacentral:rRNA from 1 species